GAGUUUGAUCCUGGCUCAGGAUGAACGCUAGCGGGAGGCCUAACACAUGCAAGCAGAGCGGGAUUUGUUGGUUAGCUUGCUAACUGAUAAUGAGAGCGGCGUACGGGUGCGUAACACGUGUGCAACCUGCCUUUAUCUGGGGGAUAGCCUUUCGAAAGGAAGAUUAAUACCCCAUAAUAUAUUGAUUGGCAUCGAUUAAUAUUGAAAGCUGAGGCGGAUAGAGAUGGGCACGCGUAAGAUUAGCUAGUUGGUGAGGUAACGGCUCACCAAGGCUGCGAUCUUUAGGGGGCCUGAGAGGGUGAUCCCCCACACUGGUACUGAGACACGGACCAGACUCCUACGGGAGGCAGCAGUGAGGAAUAUUGGACAAUGGGUGAGAGCCUGAUCCAGCCAUCCCGCGUGAAGGACUAAGGACCUAUGGUUUGUAAACUUCUUUUAUACAGGGAUAAACCUACUCUCGUGAGGGUAGCUGAAGUACUGAUGAAUAAGCACCGCA
rnacentral:rRNA from 1 species